AGGGGUGUAGAACUCGAGGCUCUCAGCUAUUCUGUCAUCCCUUCUUUUUUCUUUUUGAUUUCUAAUUUUUAGGGGGAUAAGCUCUUAUUUUUAUUAUAAUUUUUUUUUUAUUUUUUAUUUGUAGGAUUAGUAUUUUCCAACAUUUUAAUUUUUUAAAAAAUUGUUUUUUUAUUGUUUUUUUAUUUAAUUUUUUAUUGGGCUUUAUUAUUAAACUUUUUUUAUUUUAACAAUGAUUUAAUUAGUAAAAUUAAAACUUUUUUUUAUGAACUCGGCAAGAUUUAUUUUCGCCUGUUUAUCAAAAACAUGUCUUCUAGUUUUUUUUGGAGGUCUGGCCUGCUCAAUGAUAAUUUUAAAUAGCCGCAGUAUUUUAACUGUGCAAAGGUAGCAUAAUAAUUAGUCUUUUAAUUGAGGUCUGGAAUGAAUGGUUAAACGGAAAAUACACUUUAUUUAUUAAAUUUUUUUGAAUUUAUUUUUUGAGUUAAAAUUCUCAAAUUUUUUAAAGGGACGAUAAAACCCUAUAGAUCUUUAAAAUAUAUUAUUUUUUUUUUUUUUGGGUGUUUUUAAUAAAAGUUUUUUUGAUUUUUUGGGUGGGGGGGAAAAACAAAAAUUUAAACUUGGUUUUUUUUUUACAUUUAUUUAGGGUUUUUGGGACCCUUUAUUAUGGAUUUAAAGAAAAAAAACCCUUAGGGAAAAAGCGUUUUUUAUUUGGAGAGUUCUUAUCGAAAAGUAAUUUGCGACCCCAGGUUGGUAAAUUUGUUUGGGGAAA
rnacentral:rRNA from 1 species